rnacentral:rRNA from 1 species
UACGAAGGGGGCUAGCGUUGCUCGGAAUUACUGGGCGUAAAGCGCACGUAGGCGGCUUCUUAAGUCGGUGGUGAAAUCCUGGAGCUCAACUCCAGACUGCCUUCGAUACUGGGAGCUCGAGUCCGGGAGAGGUGAGUGGAACUGCGAGUGUAGAGGUGAAAUUCGUAGAUAUUCGCAAGAACACCAGUGGCGAAGGCGGCUCACUGGCCCGGUACUGACGCUGAGGUGCGAAAGCG